rnacentral:misc_RNA from 1 species
GUAGGUGAACCUGCGGAGGGAUCAUUAAUAAGAUAGACCUUUGGGUCCUUCAUCCUUCAAACCUGUGGAAGUGAGAUGUGCCUCGGCGCCUCUGGACGUCGAACCAAUGCUGAUUAGCCUGUGUCUGAAGAAAACAAAAAUUUAAAACUUUCAACAAAGGAUCUCUUGGCUCUCGCAUCGAUGAAGAACGCAGCAUCUGACUGACUUGGGAUGCAU